CAGUAGCCGCGGUAAUACGUAGGUCCCGAGCGUUGUCCGGAUUUAUUGGGCGUAAAGCGAGCGCAGGCGGUUAGAUAAGUCUGAAGUUAAAGGCUGUGGCUUAACCAUAGUACGCUUUGGAAACUGUUUAACUUGAGUGCAAGAGGGGAGAGUGGAAUUCCAUGUGUAGCGGUGAAAUGCGUAGAUAUAUGGAGGAACACCGGUGGCGAAAGCGGCUCCCUGGUCUGUCACUGACGCUGAGGCUCGAAAGCGUGGGUAGCGAACAGGAUUAGAUACCCCUGUAGUCCCUGUCUCUUAUACA
rnacentral:rRNA from 1 species